GCAGCAUCCAUGUUGAUCCAGAAGGAGACCCAGGACAAGAUGACGAUGAGUAGACUGGGAAUAUACAUCUGAAUCAGAUAGUAGCCCAUCUGACGUUCCAGAUGAAACUUUACCUCAAUGCAGGCUAGUUAUUUUAGCAAUGGCUGAUGGCUUCAGUAUGCUGUAUGAUUCAAUAUGCUGUAUGAUGCUGUGAUCUCCUACUGUUCCCUGGAUCCAUCUCACCUCACCCCACCCUGGUCUUCUUGGUCAGACUAGGCGAUUUAGAGGGGUUAUUCCUGGCUUUGCCUCAGGAAUUACUCCUGGCAGUGUUCGGAGGACUACAUGGGAUGCUGGGAAUCGAACCCAGGUCGGCCGCGUCCCAGGGAGGUAAUCCAGUUAUGCCCAAAAGCAGAGGUCGCUGAAAGCUUCAGCUCUACUCUUUAUGGAAGCCACCACCUGCUAUCUACUUACCAAGCCACCCUAAGUGAAAUUAUAACCCAGUCGCUGUGCUAAAUAGACUGGCUCAAUCUAUCUAUGAGUUCCUUAGCCUAGAGGCCAUCUGAAGAAAGACUGCUGACUGUGCUCUGAAGAUAUAGGCCAACUGCUGGCAGAUUCUCAGAGAAGAUUCCCUAGCCAAGAUGGCAGAUAGCUUGCUCCAUAGGAUCCUGGCUCUUGAUUGAGAUAUUAACCGCACCCUAUCCAAG